UAGGGGAAAGCAUAAAAAGUGUAAACUAAACCUCUGGUCCAGUGCUACAGUUUCCGAGACAACAAUUCAUCUCGAUGAUCUGAAAUCAACUGAGGGAUUAACUGGAUCCCAUCAUCGGAACUUUUCCUGAAAGGUGUUACAACAUUUCAGAGCCAUAAAUGCUCCUGACUGCAUCAAAAGAAAGUUACAAGGAGAAACCAACAAUUAUUGUGGAGAAAAACAGCUCAAUCAGAGGAAGCAGAAAGCCAGCAAGUUCACUUUUCCUCCUGUCAUUUCUCUCUGACACACAACAGCAAGACGGACUCACAAGCAGGGCUUCCUCUACAGAUCUCAGCAGCUGAGAGGAUAUAUGAUAGGGAGAGAACCAUUCUCCUAACUGUAAAACCACAGAUGGCUUGAAAGAUCAAAAACCUACACUUUGAUUUGUGCUCAGAAACCAACCAGUGCAGCUACUGAAGAUGCAUAUACUUCCCUGAGGAGGCAAGCUGUCGCAGUCUGCCUGAAUUUAUUUGAUGAUUUUGAACAAUCUUCAAUGAUAGCUUCUUGUAGAAGACAUUUCAGGACAUAUUGGCAUAUGCAGCUGAAUCAGAUGGCAGCAUCUUGAGGUGGGAGAAUCUCAUUACUUUAGGCUGCAGGGGGAGAGCAGCUGACCGCAUUCAGCCUCAGCAUGGCUUCCUUCAGUGGUGUCUACCUUGUUCCAUUGUGAACCCUUUGGGGACAGCAGGCCCUGAGCAAACUGCUCUGAGAACUUUUUGUUGUUAAAAAGCCGUCUGUAUGUAACUAAUAAAUAAUGGCUGAUACACCA